ACUUAUUACUUGAUAGUGAAGAGAAACUAUUUGAAAAAGUCUACCAACACACAGGACCAACAAAUAAUUCCACCAUGCUUCUGGGUUUGUUUUCCAUACUCCAGUGCUGCAAACACAGAGCGUGACUCAGGGUUUGCCAUGCUGCUGACACUGCUACCUGGGCAUGUAAUGCUCUGAUGUCCAGUGGCCCUAAUUAGAUGAACAAAUGUGGGAACUAGCUAAGACACUUCAGCAAGUCUGGCCUUGCACUGUCAGUGAGCUGAAACCAGGGAGGACCCUCCUUUUCUAACCCUAACACUUCAAGCCCUAAGUCAUGGGCUGCAUCUGACAGCAGGAGACUGGGUUAGCUGGGGCAUGGCUCAGAUUUGUAAAAAACAUCUGUGUUCCUCUGCCAUGACUUGGAUGGUAAUCUUUGAUGAGUGAAGGCCAGCCCAUGACAUCCUCCCCACACAAUGUCAUUUAACACAGUUGCCCAGGCUUCAUCUUACUCAAGCCAAAGGUUGAGCUGGCCCCUUCUACAGAAGCAAUACAUUCUAUAGUCAUUGUGACCUCCUCUCCCUGAUUUACAUGGUGUUUCCUUUAGCAAGGCUUGCUGGCAUCCUGUUUGCCUGGUUCCUUUGUGUGUUGCAGCUUCAUUCUGGGCUGAAAAUACUGUCAGGGUUUCUACACAAGGAUCGGGCAUGUCUGAAGAGCAGGAGGGCUGCUGAAAGGAAUAUGCUUCUAAAUGGCAGAUACUCCUUUUUCUUUCCUCCUUGAGGGCAAACAGUCAGUUUUACAGCAGGAUUUCUUGCCACAGUCCUCUGAACCCCCACAUCAGUAGAAGGAGCAAAAACUUGAACUGCAAAAUGUUGAAAUUGUAGGGAGGAGAAUAUUUGGAAGGCUACUGCAAUGAAGGAUGAAGCUUUUGUUUCCUCCGUGGUAACACUGAUAUGUGUGAAUACUUCUUGUAAGAAAAUUGUUCAGCGACUCAAAAAUCAGAAGAAACAUUUCUGGAGAGGUUGUUCUCUAAUGACCCCCAGACCCAACACUACAGCAGCUUGGAAGCAUCUCUGUGUGCUCAAGGGAGCUUUGAAAAGAUGCUGUUUGUUUGCUUGAAGAGAUGGACAGCUCUUGCUGGACCUUGGCACCCUACCCAGACCCUUAUACCACAGUUUUUCUUCCUCAGACAAGGACAUUGGAUAUAGAGGGUUAACAGAUGCCUCCCCUCUGGACCCUGUCUUGCACAACAUCCCCUCCUGGCUGGCACUAGCAUCCUCCCUCUCCAGACCAUAUGCAGAGCAGAGGCAUUUCCUUUUAUUGUCCAUGCAAACCCACCCCUGCAGCCCCACCCAGCUCCCGUCUAUUCCCUGCAAUAACACAUUUGGAGUGGAAGUAAUCCUGCUCAGAGCAGCCACACAGAACACAGGAGAGCUGUCUUCAUCCCAAAUUGCUUCUGCUUGUAGACUACUACUUCCUGCCUGUGGUCCCAGAGGAAGAGGCUAACUCAGCCUUGGUGGUGGCAAGAUGCCCUGUGCUGCUCAAGGCUGUGAGAAUGUUGGCAAAGCACCUCUGUGCUCUGCUCUGCGAGAACAAACCUGGCACAGGCAGCUUCAGAGAGGAGUUCUCCAGCAGAUCCUGGGUCAUGCACCUGGUUUGCAAAAAUGUGUGAGCAGGAUGGGGAUCAGAAUGACAUGGCAAUGUCUUUAUGGCUGGUAAAGCACUUGAUUUCAUUGCUGAGGCUGAUGGCAAAAGGGUUGGAGAGGACCAGUGAUGAGCAUCUGAGACCAGCAGUCUGUAGUACACAAGUCAGAACAGCUUCAGUGCAGUCAGAGAAACACCACCAGCUUGUGCAUGCCAAGGAACUGACCCCAAAAGGUAAAUCUUAGUAGAAGUGGGUGACAAAAAAAAAAUCCAUCAGAAAUGGAGCACGAGCAGGACUCUGCCAUAUAAUCCAUUUCUCCCUUAGAAAAGCAAAUUUGGAGGCACAGAGCAUUUCGGUAUUGUGGUAAGCUGCAGCCUACAGGACCACACUGGACUAGGGGAGAUUCCCAGCAGUGUUUCUGAGCUCUUUCCUCAGGACUUCCCCAUAAGGAGCUCCUGUGCCAGUGAUAAGCUGGGAACACUUUUGGCUCUCUACCACUGUCCGUUCAUGAGAGGCCAAACACAAACUGGAGUCCACUAUUUAAUACAGAGCUUGUCAGACCUUUCACAGCAAAUCUAAGUUUUCCCUUACUCCUUCUCAU